AGCCCUGUGGUGAAAUUCAUAUUGAAUUGCAAAUUCAAAGAUGCGGUUCACCCCGCCAAGGCUU
rnacentral:tRNA from 1 species